AGAACGAACGCUGGCGGCAUGCCUAACACAUGCAAGUCGAACGAGACCUUCGGGUCUAGUGGCGCACGGGUGCGUAACGCGUGGGAAUCUGCCCAAAGGUUCGGAAUAACUCAGGGAAACUUGAGCUAAUACCGGAUGAUGUCGCAAGACCAAAGAUUUAUCGCCUUUGGAUGAGCCCGCGUAGGAUUAGCUUGUUGGUGGGGUAAAGGCUCACCAAGGCUACGAUCCUUAGCUGGUCUGAGAGGAUGAUCAGCCACACUGGGACUGAGACACGGCCCAGACUCCUACGGGAGGCAGCAGUGGGGAAUAUUGGACAAUGGGCGAAAGCCUGAUCCAGCAAUGCCGCGUGAGUGAUGAAGGCCCUAGGGUUGUAAAGCUCUUUUACCCGGGAAGAUAAUGACUGUACCGGGAGAAUAAGCCCGGCUAACUCCGUGCCAGCAGCCGC
rnacentral:rRNA from 1 species